GGAGAGAAGGCAAGACAAUUUUGGGACUUCCCACACAAGUCUCCUAAGUGUUGGUAUAUCCUAGGCCAUUUUGGAGAGUUCCAACCAAUGCUGUUGCAACUGCUCAUCCAAUUGGCCUGUAGGUGUACUUAUGCAACCAACCAUGCUAGUCACUUGCGCUGCUUGCCCCAUGCAGCACUCGUCUUUCUCCCAUGCCUAUGAGACUUGUGUCUAACCUCACUAGCCAAUAAUCUCGCGAAAAAAAUUUUAGAUUCUAUGAGAGCUUAGGGUUGAUGUGUUACACUUUUUGAGACGACAAAGGAAAGAAUAAUUUGACUAUUAGAGUGCUAUCUCUAGUUCUGAUCUCUUUGUGAUGAUCCUUUAUGUUUGGUUAUGUCCGGCUUUGGUGUUGGUAUGCCCUAAGAGGUGCUAAUGGUGAUUUGUAGCAGAGCUUUGGCGGAGGUUUGUGGAUCUUCUCACCCAUUAAAGCUUAUGGAUUCAUCUGGUUUCUUCUGCUUCUUUAGGCGGGCCGGGCUCAUCCCCUGGAUUGGGUUUUUGAUUGUAUUAUCCUGGAUGGACUUAGCCCCCCUGACAGCACACCCUUUAUGCUCCUUUAAAAAUUAAUGAAAUUCUAAUUUCAGUUGAUUUUAUUUUUAUAUAUAUUUUUUAUUUACUUUUUAUAUUUAUUCAAUUUGUUUUAAAAAACUCUGUAAAUACUAAAUAUUGAUUAAUCCUUUAUUCCUCAAUCUUGUCUCUUCUGUGUCACGUGUAUCGCUUUCAUUUGUGUCGCUUUCUCAUUCGUUUUGUUUCCCUGCGCCCUCCACCUGAAAACAAGUCUCCUCCUUUUCUUCUACAGUAGAGAAGCCUUGUAGUCUGUCGAGGGACAGAGGGAGGAAAAACAAUGGUGUCCAAACACAGAAAGAAAGCUGAUGGAGGCUUGACCAGCGAAAACUUCAACAGGGACACUAACUUAAACAUU
rnacentral:misc_RNA from 1 species